AUUGAACGCUGGCGGCAGGCCUAACACAUGCAAGUCGAGCGGCAGCGGGAAAGUAGCUUGCUACUUUUGCCGGCGAGCGGCGAACGGGUGAGUAAUACAUCGGAACGUGCCCGAGAGUGGGGGAUAACGAGGCGAAAGCUUUGCUAAUACCGCAUACGACCUACGGGUGAAAGCGGGGGAUCGCAAGACCUCGCGCUAUUGGAGCGGCCGAUGUCAGAUUAGCUAGUUGGUGGGGUAAAAGCCUACCAAGGCGACGAUCUGUAGCUGGUCUGAGAGGACGACCAGCCACACUGGGACUGAGACACGGCCCAGACUCCUACGGGAGGCAGCAGUGGGGAAUUUUGGACAAUGGGGGCAACCCUGAUCCAGCCAUGCCGCGUGCGGGAAGAAGGCCUUCGGGUUGUAAACCGCUUUUGUCGGGGAAGAAACGGUCUGCGCUAAUACCGCGGACUAAUGACGGUACCCGAAGAAUAAGCACCGGCUAACUACGUGCCAGCAGCCGCAGUAAUAC
rnacentral:rRNA from 1 species